CCUCCCUUUGAGCCAUUCCUGUAUCACAGAGGAACUUUACUAUGAAAGACUGGUUCGUAACUCGCCCUGACACAGACUCAGAAAUUCAAAGCCUCUGGUGGUCCCUGCUGGUUCCUCCUUACCCAGCCAUCUCCCUUGUAGCUAUGGGUAUCAGCUCCCAUCUCUGGAAAGCCACUCAUGAAUCCAACUUCACUUGUAUAGCUCAGCUUACUGACAGCGAGAGCCACUCUUCCUCCGCAGCCUAGCAUCGCUCCAGCUCCAGUGGGAACCGUGUGCUGAUUCAGUGACUCAUGGCCUCCAGAAGAUCCCGGAGGAUGCUUCCCCCACUUAGCAGGCACCGCUAGUCUCUCCAACUGGCUUUUAUCUUGCCCAUUCUUUGGGUUCUCCUCCACAUCCUUGACUGCAGUGAAGCCCCUGCCUUCUGGGCGCCCAACAUCCUUGCCAGCAGCACCUCUCUCCUGGCACCGCCACAGGGCUCUACAGGAUUCUGGUCUGAAGUGCAACUGCUCCCUCACCAAGCAGGCUUGGAAGGUGGUAACUCAAAAGCAGUGAGCCAGUGGAGAAACCUGUGGACUCCUGUUAGACACAGGCAGCCCAGUCCUUCGCUGUCUGGAAUACGCUGAUCAAGCCAAUGGGGAUCUAGACCCUACAUUUUCAUCCAUGUCUCUUGCUGCUCCAACUCGCUGUCCUCAGCACCUUGGUCCCACUUGGCUAAAACUUGCCUGGCCUAUUCA